rnacentral:rRNA from 1 species
CUGUUUGAUCCUGGCUCAGGACGAACGCUGGCGGCGUGCUUAACACAUGCAAGUCGAACGGAAAGGCCCUGCUUUUGUGGGGUGCUCGAGUGGCGAACGGGUGAGUAACACGUGAGUAACCUGCCCUUGACUUUGGGAUAACUUCAGGAAACUGGGGCUAAUACCGGAUAGGAGCUCCUGCUGCAUGGUGGGGGUUGGAAAGUUUCGGCGGUUGGGGAUGGACUCGCGGCUUAUCAGCUUGUUGGUGGGGUAGUGGCUUACCAAGGCUUUGACGGGUAGCCGGCCUGAGAGGGUGACCGGCCACAUUGGGACUGAGAUACGGCCCAGACUCCUACGGGAGGCAGCAGUGGGAAUAUUGCACAAUGGGCGGAAGCCUGAUGCAGCAACGCCGCGUGCGGGAUGACGGCCUUCGGGUUGUAAACCGCUUUCGCCUGUGACGAAGCGUGAGUGACGGUAAUGGGUAAAGAAGCACCGGCUAACUACGUGCCAGCAGCCGCGGUGAUACGUAGGGUGCGAGCGUUGUCCGGAUUUAUUGGGCGUAAAGGGCUCGUAGGUGGUUGAUCGCGUCGGAAGUGUAAUCUUGGGGCUUAACCCUGAGCGUGCUUUCGAUACGGGUUGACUUGAGGAAGGUAGGGGAGAAUGGAAUUCCUGGUGGAGCGGUGGAAUGCGCAGAUAUCAGGAGGAACACCAGUGGCGAAGGCGGUUCUCUGGGCCUUUCCUGACGCUGAGGAGCGAAAGCGUGGGGAGCGAACAGGCUUAGAUACCCUGGUAGUCCACGCUGUAAACGGUGGGUACUAGGUGUGGGGUCCAUUCCACGGGUUCCGCGCCGUAGCUAACGCUUUAAGUACCCCGCCUGGGGAGUACGG